UACGGGGGGGGCAAGCGUUGUUCGGAAUUACUGGGCGUAAAGGGCUCGUAGGCGGCCAACUAAGUCAGACGUGAAAUCCCUCGGCUUAACCGGGGAACUGCGUCUGAUACUGGAUGGCUUGAGUUUGGGAGAGGGAUACGGAAUUCCAGGUGUAGCGGUGAAAUGCGCAGAUAUCAGGAAGAACACCCGUGGCGAAGGCGGCUCUCUGGGACGGUACUGACGCUGAGACGCGAAAGCGUGGGGAGCGAACAGG
rnacentral:rRNA from 1 species